AUGUCCGACCCCUUUUGUAAGUUAUGCCGACUAUCUAUGUGGUAUCUGUCGUGCUCCUUUCAUUAUGCAUGUUUCAUCAUGAAUGACUCUUGUCUAUGCAAAUCUCUCAAUACUGAACUACCCCUGUUAUAUAUUAGCAGGAUGGUUAGACCAGCUGGUCGUGGUCGUGGUGGCAACUUCCCACCACCGCCUGAGUACAUGGCUGGUAUGAUCCAACAGCUUGAGAUGAAUCGCCAGUUCAUGGAAAACGUGAUGGCUCAGUUUCCUCGCCCCAAUAUGAACCAACAUCCAAACACAACAACUCUGCAGGAUUUCAUACGCCUCAACCCAAGUGUGUACCACAGCUCAACCCAGCCGCUGGAUGCUGAUGAUUGGCUCCGUGACAUCACCUAUGAAAUGGAGUCUGCUGAUGUAGCCCCUGCCAGCUAUGUCACUUUUGCUUCCUUCUUCCUGAAGGGACCCGCAGCUCAAUGGUGGGACAGCCAUAGGCGUACUCUGCCAGUUGGGACAAUCAUCUCCUGGCCAGACUUUCAGGCUGCCUUCCGUGCCCGCUUCAUUCCUCAGGGAGUCAUGGACCGGAAGAAGCGUGAGUUUCGCAACCUCACCCAAGGCAACAAGACUGUUGAAGCUUAUCAGCGGGAGUUUCUGGACUUGUCUCGCUAUGCUGAAGAGGACAUUGCAACUGAUGCACAUAGGCAGGAGAAGUUCCGUGACGGCCUUCAAGCUGACAUCAAGCUCGCACUUCUAGUGCACGACUUUGCUGAUUUCGCCACCUUGGUGAAUAAGGCCAUCAAUGUUGAGACUGGUCUUCAAGAACACCAUAGCUCUCAAAGGCGCAACCGUGACACGGGCUCAUCUUCGGGCCCGCCCUCGCAGAAGCGUAAGAUAUGGAUCCCGAACAGCAUGUACCGUCCAAAUGCACCAGCCCCAAGGCAGUCUUACGCUACACCUCGUCUGCCUACUGCUCCAACUAGGCUGCCAAGGCUUCCAGCUCCGCCACCCCAAGCUCCUGUUCCCACUCCCAAUAAUGGCCUGUGCUACAAGUGUGGUCAACCAGGUCACCGUGCUAGGGAUUGCAUUCAGAAUCAGAAUCAACUGGCCCUUCCAGCCGCUGGCCGUGGAAACAACCAGGCCCGCAACAACAAUGCCAAGUCUUAUGGCCGUGUUCAUGCCAACCACAUUGAUCUGAAUGAAGCUCAAGACCAGCCUGCUACUGUGAUGGGUACACUCCUCGUAAAUUCAGUACCAGCAUCCGUUUUAUUUGAUACAGGUGCAUCGCAUUCAUUCAUGUCAGAAGAAUUUGCAUACAAGCACGAUGUUAAAUUUGAGCAGAUGAACACUUCGGUAGUGGUAAAAACCCCCGCGGGACAAUGUCAGACCUCCAUGGUUGGCAU
rnacentral:rRNA from 1 species